ensembl:lncRNA
CCCUGAGUCAGCUUAGACCACUGACUUCCAACCUCUAAUUCACGUCUCUGUGUUCUCUCCCCAGGUCGGGUGCAUGAGGAUGGGCUGGAGCAGAACGGGCACCAGGGGGGUUGUGUGGGGCCGGGGCUGGGGCUGGGGCUCAGGACCCUAUGUGUGAACGGCACGGAGACAGACCAGGAUCACUACCCAACCACCAGCAGGACCAGGUCCCGAUCAGAGCGCCUCUCCUCCUCCUCCUCCUCCAACCCCUCACGCAAAGGAGUGUCCACCUACAGCCGCAUCCGCAAGCUGUCCAACUGCAAGCAGCAAUGAGGGCAGCCCCUGGACCCCCAGCCCUGAACACAUAUACUGGACAGGUUUGUGUUCUCUAUUUUCCGGCUCCCUGACGUUUGGGUGAUGAAUGUUUUGACAGCCUGGUCUGCAGCAUGCAAUAACAGGACAUGAUGCACUACAGUGGUUUAUUUCACUAGUUAUUUUCUGUCUGACAACGUGAUGAUGUAAGUGAAGCUCCAGAGAGAAAUGGAGAAGAGGCUAGGACUUACCCCCUUCUGCAAAUCAUACUGGGAAUCCCACCCCUCACUGUAUGAAUGUAGCUCGUUUUAGACUACUACACUGUUUCUCCUACAGUUACUCUGUAUUAAAGCGCACAUUGUGAUGUGUAUUGAAUGACAUGGAUCAUUUCAAUAAACUACAAUAUUUGUAACAGUAAUAAGUAUGAUCAUUUAAUAAAAAAUGCAUUAACGGCAUAUGCAGGCUAAAGGAAAGGGAACUAUAGACAAGCCAAGGAUGCAGAACUAUUCAAGAAUGUCUUUGCUUUAGAUUUUUUUUUUGCAUCUUUAGUUUUGUUUUGGUGUUUUAGUCCCCAAAAUGGGUUUUAAUUAUUAUUUAUAUAAAAUGCACCCCAACCUCACCAGCUGUUUAUUCUGUGAUUUUCUCUUUAUUUGUGGCUGAAUUAUAAAUAAAUGUAUCUUGUCAAUCAAACAAUAGGCAGUGUGAAACUUUAUGACCGACUCGUCCCCAGGCUCAAUUGUUAGGUUCUGAGAGCGAGCCAGUUGAUAAACUGACAUUUCACUGAGAUUUAUCAGUUCUGUCACUAAUUUUGUUUGGUUUUUCUAAGAAGCGGUAGAUCUGUUCUAUGUGCGCUCUUCCUAUGCUUCCCGUUAAGUUUCCUUUCUGCGUCUUUUACUUUCGGUUUUGUACACCAGCUGAAAACACUAUUUGGUACAAUGAUUGAUUCUCUACGCUAUACUUGCUUGUUUUGUCACAUAUCUAAAAUUACGCAAACUAUUAUAAUUUUUGCAACCAGGAAAUGACCAUUUCUGCAUAGUGCAUCUUGAAGGAACAUCCUGUAUUUGCUCAUGCUAGUGUGCUGCUGCAGUCAAACCUGCAGGUUCCUCUGGCACUACAACGCUAUACUGCAGAUUGCUUCACCUUGACUUUGAUGUAUUAUUCUGAUUGGUGUAUUGGCUGGUGGGAGGGUUGGCUGCAGCCUACUUUGAUAAGAUGAUAUGUGGCUCCUGCUGUGAUGGGCUUGUUUUAGUGGAGCUGGCCUUGCCACUAUUGAUCUGGACUGUCAAACCUUGUACUGAACUGGACCAUCCCUGAGAGUGAUGUUCACACAGACCAAAAAAGCUACCCCUACCCCAACACUGCAUCUUUUAUAAAUCCAAGGGCAAAAGCGAACAGAAGUCAUAGCUUUGCUGCAGGUUGGUAAAUAAAUCCACAGGGUAUUAGUGGUUGAUCAUAGCAAUAUUGGAGUAAAGCUAUUGGGGAAUCUGAUGGAAUGCUGGCAUUUUUUUAUUCUGUCAUAUUUGCUGAUGUGGUGUUGGUGAUGCAGUUCAUAUGGAGGUUGAGACUGCUGUCCUACUUUCACUCUGCUUUGCAAUUGAUUGGGAACCCUAAUCACUGUGAAGUCAUUCAUUGAUGUGCAUGGGCUUUGGUGCAUAUUAACAGCUCCACACACUGUCAGACCCUCAACACCUGAAAUGAACAACAUGGAGUGGGAUGAAGAAGAGGGAGGAUAGUGUUGCAGUCCCCUUGUCUUCCUCUUCUUCCCACUCUUUUUGCUUUUGAGUACCAUUAAAAAGUACAAAUGAG